GUGUUGUUGUUCUCUGGUGGAAUUCUUGUCGAAGACUUGAUUGCUUUGUGUGAUGGUUUUGUUAGUUUAAAAGAAUGAUCAUCGUAGAUGAGUCGCUGUACUUCAGUUCGUGUCAUUGGUUGCACUGUCACAAAAAGGAACUGUUAUGAAAUCAGAAAAUUGAAAAAGUAAUGAUUUUUUGACUACUUCAAAAAUACUAGAUGACAAUUCGAAUGUUAUCUUUAUGAUCACCAUCGUUUAGUUAAGCUUUAAGCCUUGAUUCUGGAUCAGAUAUGUAACAGCUAUGUGUGAUAUUAUGCACAUGCGUGAGUUUCGAGUCCCUAUUUUUGAUAGAUGUUAUUACUUAAUAAACUUUAGCCAGUAA